CCCGACUGCUAUUUGGGUGAGAAUAAGCCAUGCAAGUUGAAUGGAAUGCCAAAAUAUUCCAUGGCAAACUGCUCAAUAACACGUGAUCAACUUACCCUAUGGAAAACAAUAACCUCUGGAAACGGAGGAUAAUGGUUUAUAGUUGAAAAGGCUUGGAAAAGUUUUUCAAUAAAAGGGAAUAAUAAAAAUGGUUAUUAUUUUGCCAUAGGAUAGGAUUGCGGUCGAUUAUGGCUGUUGGUGAGGUAAUGGCUCACCAAACCAAUAAUCGAUAGGGGCCGUGAGAGCGGGAGCCCCGAGAUGGGUACUGAGACAACGACCCAGGCCUUACGAGGCGCAGCAGGCGCGAAAACUCCGCAAUACACGAAAGUGUGACGGGGUUACCCAAAGUGCUUAAUAUUUAAGCUGUGGUAAGUGUGUAAUGUACCUUACUAGAAAGGAGAGGGCAAGGCUGGUGCCAGCCGCCGCGGUAAAACCAGCUCUUCAAGUGGUCGGGAUAAUAUUGGGCUUAAAGUGUCCGUAGCCGGUUUAGUAAGUUCCUGGUAAAAUCGGGUAGCUUAGCUAUCUGCAUGCUAGGAAUACUGCUAUACUAGAGGGCGGGAGAGGUCUGAGGUACUGCAGGGGUAGGGGUGAAAUCUUAUAAUCCUUGUAGGACCACCAGUGGCGAAGGCGUCAGACUGGAACGCGCCUGACGGUGAGGGACGAAAGCCAGGGGAGCGAACCGGAUUAGAUACCCGGGUAGUCCUGGCCGUAAACGAUGCAUACUAGGUGAUGGUACGGCCAUGAGCCGUAUCAGUGCCGUAGGGAAACCGUUAAGUGUGCCGCCUGGGAAGUACGGUCGCAAGGCUAAAACUUAAAGGAAUUGGCGGGGGAGCACCACAAGGGGUGAAGCCUGCGGUUCA
rnacentral:rRNA from 1 species